rnacentral:pre_miRNA from 8 species
UGGCUGUGUGGGUUCUUGGCAUGCUGAUUUGUGACUGUAGUAAAAAAAAAUCACAUUGCCAGGGAUUACCACACUACC